rnacentral:rRNA from 1 species
GAUGAACGCUGGCGGCGUGCCUAAUACAUGCAAGUCGAGCGAACGGACGAGAAGCUUGCUUCUCUGAUGUUAGCGGCGGACGGGUGAGUAACACGUAGAUAACCUACCUAUAAGACUUGGAUAACUUCGGGAAACCGGAGCUACUACCGGCUAAUAUUUUGAACGGCUUGAUUCAAAAGGUCAUGAGGCCUUGCCUGUCUCUAUUAGAUGAUUCCGCAUUGCAUUGGCUAGUGGGUAAGGUAACGCCUAACCAAGGCACCGAUGCUUAGCGGACCUGAGAGAGUAAUCGGCCACACUGGAACGGAGACACGGUCCAGACUCCUAGGGGAGGAAGCAGUAGGGAAACUUCCGCAAUGGGCGAAAGCCGGACGGAGCAACGCCGCGUGAGUGAUGAAGGUCUUCGGAUCGUAAAACUCUGUGAUGAGGGAAGAAAAUAUGUGUAAGUAACUGUGCAGAUCUUGACGGUACCAAAGCAGAAAGCCACGGCUAACUACGU